rnacentral:rRNA from 1 species
AUCGUAGGCGGUCUUUCAAGUCAGAUGUGAAAUCCCAGGGCUCAACCUUGGAAUUGCAUUUGAAACUGGGAGACUAGAAUCAUGGAGAGGAUGGCGGAAUUGCCAGUGUAGAGGUGGAAUUCGUAGAUAUUGGCAGGAACACCAGAAGAGAAGUCGGCUAUCUGGCCAUUGAUUGACGCUGAGGGUCGAAAGCGUGGGGAGCAAACA